UAAGGAAUAUUGGACAAUGGAGGCAACUCUGAUCCAGCCAUCCCGCGUGCAGGAUGACGGCGCUACGCGUUGUAAACUGCUUUUGUGUAAGAUGAAACCUUGGGAUUUAUCCCGAGCUGACGUUAUUACAAGAAUAAGCACCGGCUAACUCCGUGCCAGCAGCCGCGGUAAUACGGAGGGUGCAAGCGUUAUCCGGAAUCACUGGGUUUAAAGGGUGCGUAGGUGGAUGUAUAAGUCAGAGGUGAAAGCCCGCAGCUUAACUGCGGAACUGCCUUUGAUACUGUAUGUCUUGAAUCAGGUUGAGGUUUGCGGAAUGUGGCAUGUAGCGGUGAAAUGCGUAGAUAUGCCAUAGAACACCGAUUGCGAAGGCAGCAAACUGGCCCUGUAUUGACACUGAGGCACGAAAGCGUGGGGAGCGAACAGG
rnacentral:rRNA from 1 species